GAUGAACGCUGGCGGCGUGCCUAAUACAUGCCAGUCGAGCGAACAGACGAGGAGCUUGCUCCUUUGACGUUAGCGGCGGACGGGUGAGUAACACAUGGGUAACCUACCUAUAAGACUGGGAUAACUUCGGGAAACCGGAGCUAAUACCGGAUAAUAUUUCGAACCGCAUGGUUCGAUAGUGAAAGAUGGCUUUGCUAUCACUUAUAGAUGGACCUGCGCCGUAUUAGCUAGUUGGUAAGGUAACGGCUUACCAAGGCAACGAUACGUAGCCGACCUGAGAGGGUGAUCGGCCACACUGGAACUGAGGCACGGUCCAGACUCCUACGGGAGGCAGCAGUAGGGAAUCUUCCGCAAUGGGCGAAAGCCUGACGGAGCAACGCCGCGUGAGUGAUGAAGGUCUUCGGAUCGUAAAACUCUGUUAUUAGGGAAGAACAAACGUGUAAGUAACUGUGCACGUCUUGACGGUACCUAAUCAGAAAGCCACGGCUAACUACGUG
rnacentral:rRNA from 1 species